GAGGAGGAGGAGGAGGAGGAGGAGGAGGAAGAGGAGGAGGCAGAGGAUGAAGAAGAGGAGGAGAAGGAGAAGAAGGAGGAGAAGGAGAAGAGGAACCAUAAAGAGAUUCGCAAGAAAUGUGACCCACAUCAGGCAACACAGUGAUGAACUAACUACAUCUUCAACUAUAUCCCUUGGGUACACAGAGGCAACAUGCUCCACUUACAGCAUCUGAAAUCCUUCCUCAGGACUAGAGAGCUCUCCCUGACGAUGCUGACACUGAUCUGAUUGUACUUCUGUCUUCUCUGAAUUCUUAGUUUUUCUUGUUAUGAUAUUUCCUUUGUGCAGUGACAUAGAUCCUGG
rnacentral:lncRNA from 1 species